rnacentral:misc_RNA from 1 species
GGAAGGAUCAUUCCUUUAAAUUCUUUUAAUCGCCGUCGAACGGUUGCUCUACGCAAUCAACGUUUUAAUGUUGUAAUACUCUGUAUAAAUUUCCAACUGUAAGCAACGGAUACCUCGGCUAUCACAACGAUGAAGAACGCAGCAAAGCGCGAUAGGAAUUGCGAAUUGCAGAAUUCAGUGAAUCAUCGUACUUUUGAACGCAAUUGCGCUCUUGGGAAUCCCCUUGAGCAUGCCUCUUUGAGUAUCGGUUUACAAAAUUGUUGUUUUUAACGGUUGACGCUGGGGUUUCCAUGGAUGCCCUCAAGUCGCACGAUUGUCCGGAGCGCUGUCGACGCUGCAGGUGGAUGUUGCUGGGCAACUUGUGUACAUUUUACUCUGCGUGCCUAGACGGUGGCCGGGCAUACCCCUUCUCGCGAGAGAAAAAAACGCGAAAAUGAUCUCAAAUGAGGUAAGAAGACCCCCUGAAUUUAAGCAUAUAAUUAAGGGGAGGAAAGAAACUAACUAGGAUUCCCUGAGUAACUGCGAGUGAAACGGGAAGAGCUCAACCUUGAAAUCGCUGCGGGUUUCCCGUAGUGAGUUGUGGGUUCUGGAAGUAUUCUCAGCUUGUGGCCCUGCUUUAAGUCUGCUGGAAUGCAGCUGUCAUAGAGGGUGAGAACCCCGUCUUGAGGUGGGAGUCCGCUGCGUACGAGAUGCUUUCUCAGAGUCGGGUUGCUUGGGAGUGCAACCUUAAACGGGAGGUGAAUUCCUUCCAAAGCUAAAUACAUGUGAUAGACCGAUAGCGCACAAGUACCGUAAGGGAAAGGUGAAAAGGACUUUGAAAAGAGAGUCAAAAAGUACUUGAAAUUGCUUAUAGUCAACGGAUAGAAACUAUUGGAUCGGUUCGUCGUAUUACCGGUUGCUACGGUUUGCGCGGGUGGGGCAGUCUGCUUCUUUAGGGGCGGUUGGUUUUACUUGCUAAAGGCUGUGGCGUCUGGGCUUAGCGGCGAUAGAUGUCAGGAUGAGUUUGCGGUGUGGGAUACGAGCGGCUUGGAGGUAGAGCGUGAUCCGCAAGGUGAUCCUUGAAGACUGGCUGCGGAUACCAUGCUGUGGACUGAGGAUAGAUUUUGACGAAAUGGUUUUUAUUCACCCGUCUUGAAACACGGACCAAGGAGUGUAAGGUGUAUGCGAGUGUUAGGGUGUAAAACCCGGACGCGUAAUGAAAGUAAAUUCCGCUUCUGUGGAAGAGGUGUCAAUGCCGUCCCUAUAUGGGGUACGCAGACCACACCGCCCGGACCUUCCCUAGUGUUGGUUUCGAGGACGAGCAUAUACGUUACGACCCGAAAGAUGGUGAACUAUACCUGAGCAGGGUGAAGCCAGGGGAAACUCUGGUGGAGGCUCGUAGCGAUACUGACGUGCAAAUCGUUCGUCAGACUUGGGUAUAGGGGCGAAAGACUAAUCGAACCAUCUAGUAGCUGGUUCCCCC